GUCCAGAAUUCAAACCACAGUCAACCAGAUGGGAGACCAGCACCUUCACCACCAUGCCACCGAGACCUGAAGGAUGAGCAGGAGUUAAUUAGAUUCCCAGGUGAUACGGUGCUGCAUCUGAGGACCACACUUUGAGGACCACAGGUGUAAUGGAUUAGUGCUGUCUGCUAUCAGCAUGAGAGCGGGGAAUUGAGACCAAUUUCAGGUGUGUCAGUUCUUCAGGGAAACUGUCCCCAACCUCCCGGACCUGGUCAAAUUCCUCCAUCAUGUGUUCUCAGAUCCCCGUAAGCCUCUCUUUGGUGUGUUUAGCACA